GGGACGAUCUGCCUUUGCUUCUCCCAGAGUUUGACUGUUCGAAACUGAAUGUGUGGUUGGCUUUUAGUCACCCAGCAAAUGUGAAUUCUGGUGGGAGCUGGGCUUCUGGCUGGGGUUCCCCCCUUGCCCCGUGCAGAGCCGAGGUGAUACGCCCCGUCUUCCUGCCUGGGGAGCAGUUGCGCUCUGCCCUCUGGGGAGGGUAUCUGCCUUCUCUGCCUUUUAUGGGCGUUUCUGAUGCCCUCCCGUUCCUGGUGUGUGUGACCUAUUAACAUGCAGUGAAUACAAAGCUGAGCAUUCCAUAGAGAAGUGGGUCAUUUUGCAGAAAAAGAUAGCGGAUUAGCAAGGAUUCAGAAUUGUGGCUGUGCCUGGCUGACAGCCUUGGGAAACAGGCUCUGUCCUCGCACGAUGGACUUGCCUCUGACAAAGCUGCACCUCUCCCCAAUGGACAUAAGGUGGUGACACCCCAGGGCCUGGGUGUCACAGCGGACAAGCAGAGUGGCCGUGAAGGGGAGCGGUUGGGCCAGCCAGCAGAGCCACACCCAGUGGAACAGUGUAGGUGCGACAGACGUCCGGCAGGGCUCCAAGGCCUGCGGUGGCUCAGGGCGUCUGCGACAUGCGAAAGAGAGUCUGUGCUGCCACCACUUGGGAGUAAAGUAACGGGAGCUAACUGUGUGCACACACUCUUCUGUCCUUCAUCUGCCUGUCCGGAGGGAGAGAGAGCGAGAGGCUCAGGAAAAGGGGGGAAGGGAGCCCACGGCCGUGCUGUGGUGCCCGUCAGGGCACAGUGAGUUCUCUGAGCAUCUUCUUCAUGCUUUGACUUUUGAACCAUGUACUUGUGUUUCAUAUUCAGAAGAUAAAAUUAAGCCCAUAAAGACAAAAAAACCUAAAAUUGAAUUCAAAUGAACUGAUGAACCUAAAUAAACUGGUAGCGUUUACUUAU